rnacentral:misc_RNA from 1 species
UUGAAUAAACUUGAAGCAGGUUGUUGCUGGUCUCUAGAGGCAUGUGCACACUUGCUACAUCUUUGUUAUUUCUCCAACUUGUGCAUCAUAUUUGGGACUGCUGUGCUUUUGUUUAGUUCGGCUUUCCCUUUUUUAUUAUUUACAAUCACAUGUUGAAUGUAUGAAAGAAAAGAAAAAAAAAUAUA